UAAUAAUCAAAAGCCCCAACUCUCAGUCCUAACACACAAAAUCAACCCUGAGUUGGUCUCAAAACUAUUCAAUUGCAAGUCAGUACCAACUUUGGCUUUAACCUUCAACCCAACCUUCAAAACCCACCACGAAUCUCCACUUUCUUCAUCAUUAUCUUCGUCGUCGAUACUGGUUCCCAAGCUCAAUCUCUCCUAAAUCGGCUUCUUCCUAUCCUCUCGUGAUUCCUAGCUUCACGUCCUCAAACAGAUCACCGAGGUCAAUCUCAAAUAUCCUCUCAAAUCAGAUUUCAUCAAACUCGUCUUCACCUUCGAAAAAUUCCAAACCUCCAAUUUUUACUUCUCCAAAAUCAAUCUCACCAAGCCCAAUCUAUUAACUCUCCUCUUCGGGCAAUUGCAUCCCCGAUCUAGAAAUCUCCAUGAAUGCUCGAUCUGAAAUGCACAACAUCGACUCCAAAUCUAAUCACCAUGACUACUUGUCUGCUGGUUGAGAACUUGAAAGCUCUGCUUGAGGUCGAGAUUGUCAACUUGUUGUUAUUGCUUGUCUCUCUUUAGCUGCCAAAGUUGAGGAAACCCGAAUGCCCCUUUUCUUAGACUUCCAAGUAUGUGAUAUUAUAUUGUAUUGUUAAAUAUGCAAUGUGGGUGUUUGCAAAAAUGUCUCAUUGAAUGGAAGGAAAAUCAAAGGGUGGUUUUUUUUGUUUUUGAGGGGGGCGGGGGCGGGGGGAGGGCUUUAAUUUGUUCAAUUAAGGUUAUUUUUAGGCUAUAGGUGCCCUUUUUGAAGAAAUUGUCUUUUUCAUUGCUGUUUAUUUGUUGAAAAGGGAAAAGAAAAAAAAGUUUUCAAGAUUCAGGGUUCCAUGAACUUUGAUCAGUUGAAGUUAUGGGUGAAAUAGAAAAUUACUUUUAAAGUUUUGCUCUCAAUCUUUUGGCUUUGACUAUGGAAAUGUUAUAGACAUUAAAAUGUUGAUUUAGUUAUGUUUCACAUAUUGAGGAAUUUCUUCACUUGAUUUUGGAAGCUUGAAAAUUGUAAAAGUUUUGAUAAUUUUUAAUUUUUUUAUGAUGGAAAUUUUCCUAUUCGAAGUCUGAAUUGGCUAAACUUGGAAGAACUUGUCUUUUUUCAUUGUUGUUUGUUUGGUAAAAGAGGGGAAGGAAAGGAAAGUUUUCAAGAUUCACAUGGAAAAUUAGUAUUCCAUGUACUUUGCUUAGUUGAAGUUGGGUGAAAUAGAAAAUUGCUGUUAAAGUUUUGUUAUCAAUCUUCUGGUUUUGACUAUGGAGAAUAUUGUCGACAUUAAAAGGCUUUGCAUAUUUUUAGUUAUGUUUCAUAUAUGGAGGAAUUUCUUCACUUGAUUUUGGAAGCUUGAAAUUGUGAAGGUUCAGAUAAUUUUAAAUUUUUUUAUGAUGGAAAUUUUCCUAUUUGAAGUCUGAAUUGACUGAGCUUGGAAUGGGAUUAUGUGCCGACUGUUUUUGACAAUUUUAGUGCAAAUGUGGUUGUGGAUGAGAGCAUUGUUAAUUUAGGGCUUUGGGAUAUAGCAGGUAAGUUCAUAUUAGCUAGUGAUAUCUUCUUCUUCAACAAACUCUUCAUAAGUGUUGGAUUUGACUUGUUUGUUUCAUGGAACAGGUCAGGAGGAUUACAAUAGAUUAAGACCCCUAAGCAAUUGAGGGGUCGAUGUCUUUAUACUUGCAUUUUCUCUAAUUAGCAAGGCUAGAUAUGAAAAUAUAUCAAAAAAAAGGUUCUGUUUUCGAUGGUCAGUGGAUUCCUAAAUUGAGGCAUUAUGCUCCUGGAAUUCCAAUAGUUCUUGUGGGAACAAGGCUUGUUUAGAUUCUCUUUCCUAUCCUUUUCGUUUGUUCUAGUUAGUGAUACUAUUGGCUAUUUUCAGACAUUUGCAUCUAGAAUUCUGUCAUAAAUGUGAGAUUUCUUCUUUGAAAGUUUUCACCAGAAUUUCUUUGCGCCCAUGGUUGCAAACUUACUUAUAUUUAACAAUUUUUAACCCCAUUUCCAAGUUCUUUUGAAGCAUAUCUCGAUAAUUAGGCCAUUUUGACAUACAGAAGGGAAGUUUUUGCAGAAACGUCUUCAGUUUUGCAUCAUUUAUCCCCAAAUAUCCAUGAUCUAUCUCUCUUUUCUUCUUCUGUUUUUGGGGGAUUAAUAGGGAAGUAGUAGAAAGUUUCAGUUAUGAGCUUUUCACAAAGCUUUUCUUUUAUAGUUGAAAAGUGCUAAGCUGCCAUGUGAGCCUGAAUAAAAUUACUAGGUUCCUUCAAAAUUAAUAGCUUCUUGCAUAGUUACACUAUGUAGAUAUUCUGGAACUUUGCAAGAAAGGGUUAAUAUUCAUUGCUAUUGUGGCACUUCUCUAGCUAAUGAAAUACACGUUUGUAAUUUCUUUGAGCUUUGUGGAAUUGCUCGUGGAAUUUCAUGACCAGGGUCAACAAAUUUAGUAUUGUUUUUGGUAUUUCAUGUAGGCAGUGUUGAAUCCUAGAUAUGUACUACUACCGUCAUAAUUAUGCAGCAUUUAAUUUUAAUUGAAGCUUUCAUUUUGGCUACUAAGAUCCAUUUAGCUUCCUUGUAUAUUAUUUUUAAUAUCUCUAUAAACAGGAUAGACAUCAGUACUUAGAGGUGGAAACCUGAACCACUGGAUUUGAUUUUGCUAUUAAUAAGAGAAAAACAAUACAAGAUAGUUUUAGUUGCAAGUUCAGUCUGGUUUGGACCAAGUCAAUUGCCACCGAACCAUUUGAAUAGUUUCAAUUUGGCAAUGUUUGAUUUAUAGUUCUAUCAUGACAAAUUGGUCUUAGUUGUUGACAGCCUAAUUGGAUCACCAUGACAGAGUAAGUUAGUUGUUGGCAACCCCAUUAGAUCCCUAUAGGCAAUUGAAAAAUUGUUCUCAGAUUCUUGGAUCCAUGAGGUGGCUUAUGAGACCAGAAAAAGUUGAUGGCAUUUUUUGUAGACUAUUGGAAUAUAGUCUAUUUUUGUUUUGUUAGGUAGAGAUACUAAACCAAAUGAAAUUGAGUCUUGAAAUUCUCAUUUCAAGAUGUAGAGACUUCUUGAUGUUUCUUUUUCUGACCCAUGAUAAUAAUAUCAACUAUUGCUUCUCCAAUACCAAUAUUCUCUGUUCUUGGCGUCUUUAGAAGUAAUGCUUGUCUGCACUGACUUGGAAGGAAAUGUUUCAACUUGAACUGAGGUCUUUGCUAUUAUCAUGCUCUUUAUCAUGUUUAUUUUGUUAUGUUGUAUGUCAACAGAUUUGUACUUGUAAACUUGUAUACAGUAAUUAAGAGUAAGGUUUGGCUGGGUGUGAUGCCUAAGUUUGAGUCUCAUUAUUGCUGGGUGGAUUUUAGUCUGACUGCUGCGCCAUGCAACUUCCCGUAUUCUCCUAAAAAAAAAAAAAAACAUUUGUCUAUGGAUAUUGAGUUCUAUGUUAUGAUCAAUUUUGAACCUGUCAUUUUAGUUUUGCAAUUUUUUUUUAUAUGAAUGUUGUGCGUGAAGUGAACAGUCCUUUAGAGUGAAUGACCUUUUAUUUUGCCUCCUGUAGAUCUUCGGGAAGAUAAGCAGUUCUUUGUAGACCACCCUGGUGCUGUGCCCAUUACAACAGCUCAGGUGGAGGGAUCAAAGUUUGUGAUUGAAGCCAAGACAAUCUAGAAAAUGGAGCUUCUUAGCCCUGGGUGUUGGAAAGUAUGGGUUAACUAUGUCAAAGUCAAUGUGCCUUUUGUUUAGAACUUUUUGGACAAUUAGAAUUUAAGGAUAGUUCUUUUUGGAUGGUUUUGAAUUAAGGUUAGUUUUUGGAUGUUUGGAAUGUAUAUAUUGAUAAUUUUUUAAUGUUCAUAAUUUAUGGAUAUAGUUUAUUUUUUAUACUUGAAACAAUAUUUUGGUGAUU